rnacentral:rRNA from 1 species
AUUGAACGCUGGCGGCAGGCUUAACACAUGCAAGUCGAGCGGGGAAGGUUGCUUCGGUAACUGACCUAGCGGCGGACGGGUGAGUAAUGCUUAGGAAUCUGCCUAUUAGUGGGGGACAACAUCUCGAAAGGGAUGCUAAUACCGCAUACGUCCUACGGGAGAAAGCAGGGGACCUUCGGGCCUGGCGCUAAUAGAUGAGCCUAAGUCGGAUUAGCUAGUUGGUGGGGUAAAGGCCUACCAAGGCGACGAUCUGUAGCGGGUCUGAGAGGAUGAUCCGCCACACUGGGACUGAGACACGGCCCAGACUCCUACGGGAGGCAGCAGUGGGGAAUAUUGGACAAUGGGGGGAACCCUGAUCCAGCCAUGCCGCGUGUGUGAAGAAGGCCUUUUGGUUGUAAAGCACUUUAAGCGAGGAGGAGGCUACUGGUAUUAAUACUACCGGAUAGUGACGUUACUCGCAGAAUAAGCACCGGCUAACUCUGUGCCAGCCGCCGCCGUAA